AGACUAAGAACUGAAACUGCUCUGCAAUUGCCCAAAUUAUAGUGAAUAUCAGAUAAAAGGUUUGCUAUCUCCUGCUGUCUAUUUUCAGGAGCCAUAAAUAACCCAGCACAAGCAGAGCUACCCCCUGCAAGCAACACGAUGCCUUCUGGAAGUCUGAAUAGGGGAAGAACAGUCUUGCCAUCUCAGUAAUGUUCUGAUUCAGCCAAUUUAUGGUGGGAACUGAGAUCCUUCAUUUCUAAGAAGCAACCAGGAGAUGCCAACUCUACAGGUCCAGGGCUCAGGUUUUGAGUGAUACUCAUCAAGAGCUCCUGGAGGAACUGAGUCAUGCUUUCACAGGAAUCUCUUAAGAAAGGAGGAGAAUGAAUUCCAGGAGAUAAAAACAGUCUCCAGCUGCAACACCUUGGCACUGGGAUGGAAACAAAUGGAGCAUUUAUUGAGUCUCUCCCCCUAACUUGGAGACUCUGCUUCAGCCACACUGACUUCCUUUCUGCCCUCAAACAUACCUUGCCUUCACCCAUCUGAAGCCUUUACCCCAGAUACAGUUACAGUACUCUCAGUUAGUCAGUACACCCAUGACUCUUUGUGUAUGUGUGUGCACGUGUAUGUAAUACAUGUAUACACACCAUACAUAGGCAUACACGUAUUACACGAUACUAUAUGUGUAUGUAUUUAUUAGUAUUUAUCUCAUUUAACUGACAUUAUUAGGUUACAUACAUACUUCCUUGUUAAAUUAUAAACUCCUAAAGGUAGAAACCACAUUUUCAGACCAUCAAUUGCCUUAGGGUCAUAUGUGAUGCAAAGUUAAGAUAAAUGAGUUAAUGAAUAAAUGAAUGAAUAAAUGACUAGAACGUUUUUGUACUCCUGUUUGCAAACACCAUCAGCAAAGUUCCCAAUGGAAGCUUUAUUUCUCCUCUGAACAAUAAAAAAUAUAGUGUCCAGAAACUCUGAGUCCUCACCUAAAAUCAAACUGGUCUAAGUCGUUCAUCGUUUAGAGUCAGUCUUAACCUGGAUGCCUGGUCAACCAUGACAACUUUGGCCCACCAUAUUGCCAUCUGGAACUACCAUCCUUCCAGUAUCACUAAUCUAUCUCAAGUUCUUUUAUUCUUGCUAUUGUGAAACUUAAAAUACGAUCAUAUUUUAUAGUUUGUAAAGUGUACUCUACACAUUUAGGUCAUUCUUCAUAUUGCUUAUGCUGCAACUGGCAGUCAGCAGACCCAGUGACUACCUGGUCUGGUCAUUCUCUUCUUGCUCCAGAACAAAGAGUAAGGUAUCACAAGCUCUCCUUAGCUGCUAACCUAAGGAUCUACAAUUCACCGUUCUCUUCUGCUAGAGAGGCCAUAAUCAUCUGAAUCACAGAGAUUCCCCCUAGUAAGACUUGGUUCUUGCCAUGUAAGAUGGCACACCUCAUUAAGUCCAGGACAGUGGAAAGCAAAUUAGCAUAAUUAGCAUAACCAUACCUUAGCACCAAAUCCCAUGCCCAAUCUCUGAUGACAUCUGUAGAUUUGUUUGAAGAAGCCAGUUAUCAUCUACCAUGGGUAAUUCAACUGCAGGUGAUGGGAGACAAAGGAGUCUUUGAUUACCUCCCCUUAUUUUUCAUGGUCA
rnacentral:lncRNA from 1 species